CGUGGCCGUUCUUGCGACAACGGAGUUUCAAUUAGGUUAAGGAGGACGACUUUUUCUGGUCAAUCUCCAGCGUAAGCCGUUGUAGUGUCGAACCGAUAGGAUUUCUUUUCUCUUGCAAUGGAAAAUCAGCAACGUAACGGAACUCAAACCGGAUUCAAUCAAUGUCAUUAAAGUUUUCCUUAACUUCAUCUCCCCCACUCCUUCCAUGAUUCUUCAGCUCCCACCUAGCUUCCAGUCGGUGAAACUACAUAUAUAAAUAGCUGAGUCUUGAUUCCGUAAACCUCAUCAUUUUAUUCUUCACAUCAUAUAAACUCUAAAAACUUUUGUAGAGCACAAUGGAAAAGUCCUCUCGCCUGUGAGCUCUUGCAGGAAGCCCGAGACUUCACGGCGGAAGAUAAUCGUCGAAAAGGAGUGUGGCACAGUAGGAGGAAGAAAGCGGCGGCGAUGGAGGAGAGAAAGAGGAUGAAAGUGGUUAAGAAUAAAGAGAAAGCCAUUGAUGAUAGUGAGGAAAGGUAUUAAUGGUGGGUUGGACGGAGGUUUCUGCAUAAAGGAUGAAUUGAAGUUGGAAGUGCAGGAUCUACUGUCCGAUGGUUUCAGAUUGCUUUCUUUGCAAUUGGUUCCUUAUUAUGUUUAACCAGGGAAGCUUGAAGAUCAUCAACCACCAUCCCUACUUCAAAUGGAGUUACAAAACGUAGACAUAUUCUCAGUCGUCGAUAGGUGCACAGGAGGUGGUGACGGUGAGAGAUCAGCUGGAGAAGAAGGAGCGAGAUCCAUGAUUAUCGAGUGAGAGGAGACAGAGCCAGAGAUUAACGACGCACAAGCAGAGACUUUGGACCUUGGAGUGAAGACCAGAUCUCCAAUCGAAAUCAAUGGUCAGAAUCGUCUCCGCUUAUGAACGACGGGGCCGAGAUUCACACGUGUAACUAACCACUGUUCCCGUAAGGAUCAAAAGCAAAAUCGAGCUUGCAAGAAAAUUCAUAGCGGUACCAGUGAGAGAGAGAGACCAGAACUCAGAGGUUUGUCCGCUUUGGGUCAAAGAUCAGAGAGAUAAUACAAUCAUUUUUUGCAAUGUGUAAUCUUUUUAUUCGUGUACAAACGUCAACUUUGCUUAAAUGAUUAUCUUUCCUAUGCCA